rnacentral:lncRNA from 1 species
ACGUACAAAAAAAACCCAACAUAAUACAGAGACAUAUAGUUUGUCAAGCAUUGAGAUCUGAUCUCUACAGUACUAGCAUCCCGUUUUGAUCUAGUUUGUAUGCGUGUAAAUAUCGGUAGAGGCACGACGUUUGGAGUGCUACACAAUCUUGUUUUUUCUGUUUAUCUUUCCGCUGCAGGUAUAUUCUAAAUUUGAUGACCUAGAUUCAAUUUAAUAUUUGCUUGAGAUCUUGGAAACAGAAUUCAUGAUUAAUUUUAUAAAUCGUUAUAAAUCGGUAUGAAUUCCAACAUCAUAAGGUUUAUACAAGAUGGAUUAGGUCUUUUUUUUUUAAAAAAAAAAAAACAAGAUGGAUUAGGUCUAGCUAAACUUGGGGAACAAGCUAACAAAACCUAACAAUAUUGUUAGCCCAGUCGUCUUCGGCUCAUAGCGAGUUAGCGACAUCCGGUAACAGCUAUUUCAUCUUGGUUUGGUUAAAGGUUUAAUCUCGGUUUAUCUCUGGUUCAAGAAGUUGGAAUUGAUUAAGUGAUUUGAAGUUGGAUUUGAUUCAAGUGAUUAGAACUAAGCAGCCAAGGCCAAGAGCAAGCAGGAAGGAGUAAGUUGGAUUAGAUUUAUAUAUGGGCUCCGAAUAAACUGAAAACAGGCCCAAAAGAAACUGCUACCAAGUCUGUUAGAAGAAUCGAAGCAACAGAGUACUUUUGUUUUGAUUUAUAUAAAACGAAACAGAGGACUUCUUCUUCUUCUUCUUCUUCUUCUUCUUCUUCUUCUUCUUCUUCUUCUUCUUUCUUGUACUCUUGUGAUCUUCUUUUAUAUGGAAAUUUUGUAAUGAUUACGCCGAUCAAUAACUCUUUACAAUACAAUUACUAUAUCCACUUCUCCGCCUCUAUUUACGAUUUGGACUUUAAAAAGUUCAAGGGAAACAAAUGAUUACAUAAAGGUUUUUUUUGCUACGAUGAUAACAUAAAGUUAUUCACCAUUCCUCUGAUUAUAUCUUUAUCACUUGCUAUAUAUAUUUUCAAGCUUCUCUUUAUAUACUUGAUGAGUUAUCACAAGCUACAGUAACACUCUUCUCUUUAUAUGCUUUGAUGAGUUCCUGUAUCACACUUCUUCACUCAAGAUGUUGUUGAUUUCUUUGUUCAAUGGUGGAUCAG